AGGUGAGGUAGAGGUUGCGAAAGCGAUGAGUAGCUGCAGGGAGGCGCAAGGAACCGCCGACGAUCUGCCGUGAAGGGCGCUUUCGCCGAAGUGUGGCGGUCCGUUCCGAUCGACGGCCAUGCUGGGGCUGUACCCGAAAGGGACAGAACUGUCGCGGCUGAACCGGCAUCGCUUAAGAAUGCCGUUUGGCCGUGUUGAGCUAUCUUUCAU
rnacentral:ncRNA from 2 species